rnacentral:rRNA from 1 species
GAUGAACGCUGGCGGCGUGCCUAAUACAUGCAAGUCGAGCGAACAGACGAGGAGCUUGCUCCUCUGACGUUAGCGGCGGACGGGUGAGUAACACGUGGAUAACCUACCUAUAAGACUGGGAUAACUUCGGGAAACCGGAGCUAAUACCGGAUAAUAUAUUGAACCGCAUGGUUCAAUAGUGAAAGACGGUUUUGCUGUCACUUAUAGAUGGAUCCGCGCCGCAUUAGCUAGUUGGUAAGGUAACGGCUUACCAAGGCAACGAUGCGUAGCCGACCUGAGAGGGUGAUCGGCCACACUGGAACUGCGACACGGUCCAGCCUCCUCCGGGAGGCAGCAGUAGGGAAUCUUCCGCAAAGGGCGAAAGCCUGACGGAGCACCGCCGCGUGAGUGAUGAAGGUCUUCGGAUCGUAAAACUCUGUUAUUAGGGAAGAACAAAUGUGUAAGUAACUAUGCACGUCUUGACGGUACCUAAUCAGAAAGCCACGGCUAACUACGUG